CGUCUUUGAGCAAACAUAGAGUAUCUGGGACCACAGUAGUUCGCUCUAUAGGUGUGCCAAUCGGUAAUGAUCCAUGGCUGCAUACCCUGCUCUGUAAUACCCCAGCCGUCAGCCAACCAGAAAGCCCCAGAGACUUCUCCGGCCAUCUGAAAACACUGCCAUUAGAGAAGGUUCUGCCUGGCUGUUUUCUUCUCUUCCCGGGAAAUAUGGCCAGAUUAUUGCUGACCUAUCUGGAGGCAACAGGAACAUGGUAAUCUGUUCUUAUUCUAAUGGAUCUUCCAUAACGUUUCCCACAAAGAAUUACUAACCAUUCAUGACCUUCAUCAAAUAACGGCAAAUAGCUUGGCUCUCAGGACCUCAGUUUUCUCUUCUGCAAAAAAGCUGUCAUCUCUAGCUCUGAAUGCAAUAAUUUUAUAAAAGUAGCUUUCAAAUGAAUGUGGGGACAGAUUUCUGUCAUCCAGAGCACAAUUGGUUGCAAAUUGCAGUAUGAUUCUUGUGGAUGCUCCAUGUGAGGAAAGGAUCAUGGGAAGAGUCUGUAUUCAGGAAGGUAAGUGCCCAUAUACAGAAUCUAAGCUUUUUGAUUCAUCUUUGAUUGAAUAUUCAUUCUACUUCUAAUAAUAUAGAUGGAAGAGUUAUUUUUCUUCAAAUUUAUAUUCAGUAACACCCUCAACAUCUCUCAAAUUACUAGUGUCAGUUGAGACAAGAACAAAACAAGAAUGUUAAAAAUACCUUGUGUCUCUAUGCCAUUGCCACAAAAACUCAACAGCCAGCUUGCUUGCCGGCAAAGGCUUUCUUUUCAGGGAAGAUAAUUUGCAUGUGGGGCUCCAUUCAAGUACUUUGAAAAUGUGUCCAAGGAAACUUAGCAAUUGAAAUGAUUAUCAGAAACUGGUUGUGUUUUUCAUUCUAAAUCAGACUGAUUUCCAAGACACUCUUGGUGUGCUAGAGGAGGAUGAAGAGAGGGCAUUUGGAGCCCAUUCUUAGUCUUCAAACUUUCAGGACACUUGAAAUGUAUUCUCUAGUUUGGCCUAUGGUAACUCAGUCUGUUUCCCUGUUUCAUUACUCCAGUGUUGGCA
rnacentral:lncRNA from 1 species